GAAAUGCGUAGAGAUCUGGAGGAAUACCGGUGGCGAAGGCGGCCCCCUGGACGAAGACUGACGCUCAGGUGCGAAAGCGUGGGGAGCAAAACAGGAUUAGAUACCCUGGUAGUCCACGCCGUAAACGAUGUCGACUUGGAGGUUGUGCCCUUGAGGCGUGGCUUCCGGAGCUAACGCGUUAAGUCGACCGCCUGGGGAGUACGGCCGCAAGGUUAAAACUCAAAUGAAUUGACGGGGGCCCGCACAAGCGGUGGAGCAUGUGGUUUAAUUCGAUGCAACGCGAAGAACCUUACCUGGUCUUGACAUCCACAGAACUUGGCAGAGAUGCCUUGGUGCCUUCGGGAACUGUGAGACAGGUGCUGCAUGGCUGUCGUCAGCUCGUGUUGUGAAAUGUUGGGUUAAGUCCCGCAACGAGCGCAACCCUUAUCCUUUGUUGCCAGCGGUUAGGCCGGGAACUCAAAGGAGACUGCCAGUGAUAAACUGGAGGAAGGUGGGGAUGACGUCAAGUCAUCAUGGCCCUUACGACCAGGGCUACACACGUGCUACAAUGGCGCAUACAAAGAGAAGCGAACUCGCGAGAGCAAGCGGACCUCAUAAAGUGCGUCGUAGUCCGGAUUGGAGUCUGCAACUCGACUCCAUGAAGUCGGAAUCGCUAGUAAUCGUGAAUCAGAAUGUCACGGUGAAUACGUUCCCGGGCCUUGUACACACCGCCCGUCACACCAUGGGAGUGGGUUGCAAAAGAAGUAGGUAGCUUAACCUUCGGGA
rnacentral:rRNA from 1 species